UGGGGAAUAUUGGACAAUGGGCGCAAGCCUGAUCCAGCCAUGCCGCGUGAGUGACGAAGGCCUUAGGGUUGUAAAGCUCUUUUUGGCGGGGAAGAUAAUGACGGUACCCGCAGAAUAAGCUCCGGCUAACUUCGUGCCAGCAGCCGCGGUAAUACGAAGGGAGCUAGCGUUGUUCGGAAUCACUGGGCGUAAAGCGCACGUAGGCGGAUAGUUAAGUCAGGGGUGAAAUCCUGGGGCUCAACCCCAGAACUGCCUUUGAUACUGGCUGUCUCGAGGUCGAGAGAGGUUGGUGGAAUUCCUAGUGUAGAGGUGAAAUUCGUAGAUAUUAGGAAGAACACCAGUGGCGAAGGCGGCCAACUGGCUCGAUACUGACGCUGAGGUGCGAAAGCUAGGGUAGCGAAGAGGAUUAGAUACCCCAGUAGUCCCUGAGCGGGCUGGCAAGGCGCAU
rnacentral:rRNA from 1 species